AUGGGAGCUUGCUCCCUGAUGUUAGCGGCGGACGGGUGAGUAACACGUGGGUAACCUGCCUGUAAGACUGGGAUAACUCCGGGAAACCGGGGCUAAUACCGGAUGGUUGUUUGAACCGCAUGGUUCAAACAUAAAAGGUGGCUUCGGCUACCACUUACAGAUGGACCCGCGGCGCAUUAGCUAGUUGGUGAGGUAACGGCUCACCAAGGCAACGAUGCGUAGCCGACCUGAGAGGGUGAUCGGCCACACUGGGACUGAGACACGGCCCAGACUCCUACGGGAGGCAGCAGUAGGGAAUCUUCCGCAAUGGACGAAAGUCUGACGGAGCAACGCCGCGUGAGUGAUGAAGGUUUUCGGAUCGUAAAGCUCUGUUGUUAGGGAAGAACAAGUACCGUUCGAAUAGGGCGGUACCUUGACGGUACCUAACCAGAAAGCCACGGCUAACUACGUGCCAGCAGCCGCGGUAAUACGUAGGUGGCAAGCGUUGUCCGGAAUUAUUGGGCGUAAAGGGCUCGCAGGCGGUUUCUUAAGUCUGAUGUGAAAGCCCCCGGCUCAACCGGGGAGGGUCAUUGGAAACUGGGGAACUUGAGUGCAGAAGAGGAGAGUGGAAUUCCACGUGUAGCGGUGAAAUGCGUAGAGAUGUGGAGGAACACCAGUGGCGAAA
rnacentral:rRNA from 1 species